AUUCAGAUAUUAAAGGAAAAUGGCAGCAUUGAAGUAAGAACUAGUCAGGCGGAGUCUGACCCUUGCAUAGAACUGCUGCUUGGUUAUUUGGUUCUAAAAUUAAAGUAUCUACUACAAAUCAACUGAAGGGAAGAGCUUUUCACCUUUUUGUAUUGGUUGACUGAAUGCCAAGCCACAGUACAAAUAUAUCUUGGUACACUCAGAGUAUAAAUGAAAAUACUGAGCUACUAGCCUACUACAUCUAGAUUGAUAGUACUACAUGAUACAUGUACAUGGAGCUGUGUGCAUAUUGUUUUGCGCGGGAAAAUCUCAUGAAAACCCAGCCGCAAAUUUAUUCAGUGGACCCAGUGGGUGGAGCUUCUUGUCCUCGUGGAAAAAGCGUUUCUCUCUUUCUCUGGUUCUGAUCGUAUCCUGGCCUACUAGGCGAAGUAAUGGCGACUAAAGAUCCAAAGACACCUACUAAGGAAGGAGAGGUUACAAGUGAAAGCAAUGAAGAAGAACCAACUGGUAAGUAU